GACGAACGCUGGCGGCGUGCUUAACACAUGCAAGUCGGACGGAAAGGCCCUGCUUUUGUGGGGUGCUCGAGUGGCGAACGGAUGAGUAACACGUGAGUAACCUGCCAUCGACUUUGGGAUAACUUCAGGAAACUGGGGCUAAUACCGGAUAGGAGCUCCUGCUGCAUGGUGGGGGUUGGAAAGUGUCGGCGGUUGGGGAUGGACGCGCGGCUUAUGAGCUUGUUGGUGGGGUAGUGGCUUACCAAGGCUUUGACGGGUAGCAGGCCGGACGGGGUGACCGGCCGCAUUGCGACUGCUGUGAGGCCGCGCCGCCUCCGGGGGGCAGCAGUAGUGAAUAAUGCACAGUGGGCGGCGGCCGCAUGAAGGAACGCUGCCGCGUGGAUGUCGGCCUCCGGGUUGUAGUCCGCUUCCGCUUGUGACGAAGCGUCAGUGACGGUAAUUGGUAAAGAAGCACCGGCUAACUACGUG
rnacentral:rRNA from 1 species